rnacentral:rRNA from 1 species
CUGGCCUCAAAUCAGGUAGGGCUACCCGCUGAACUUAAGCAUAUCAAUAAGCGGAGGAAAAGAAACUAACUAGGAUUCCCUUAGUAACGGCGAGUGAACCGGGAUGAGCUCAAAUUUAAAAUCUGGCGUCUUUCAGGCGUCCGAGUUGUAAUCUAUAGAGGCGUUUUCCGCGCCGGACCGCGUCCAAGUCUCUUGGAAUAGAGUAUCAAAGAGGGUGACAAUCCCGUACUUGACGCGACAACCGGUGCUCUGUGAUACGUUCUCAAUGAGUCGAGUUGUUUGGGAAUGCAGCUCUAAAUGGGUGGUAAAUUCCAUCUAAGGCUAAAUAUUGGCGAGAGACCGAUAGCGAACAAGUACCGUGAGGGAAAGAUGAAAAGCACUUUGGAAAGAGAGUUAAACAGCACGUGAAAUUGUUAAAAGGGAAACGAUUGAAGUCAGUCGUGUGAAAGGUAUUCAGCCGUCUCUGGCGGUGUAUUUGCCUUUCACGGGUCAACAUCAGUUUGAUCCGGUAGAAAAAGGCGGGAGGAAGGUGGCACCCUCGGGUGUGUUAUAGCCUCCUGUCAUAUGUGCCGGACCAGACUGAGGAACGCAGCUUGCCGCAAGGCCGGGGUUCGCCCACGUACAAG